rnacentral:rRNA from 1 species
AACGCGAAGAACCUUACCCAGGCUCGAAAUGUAGAGGGCGACACCAGAGAUGGUGUUUUCCGUAAGGACUUCUAUAUAGGUGCUGCAUGGCUGUCGUCAGCUCGUGCCGUGAGGUGUUGGGUUAAGUCCCGCAACGAGCGCAACCCUUAUCAUUAGUUGCCAACACGCGAGGUGGGGACUCUAAUGAGACUGCCUAGGUUAACUAGGAGGAAGGUGAGGAUGACGUCAAGUCCGCAUGGCCCUUAUGUCUGGGGCUACACACGUGCUACAAUGGUCGGUACAGAAGGCUGCGAAGUCGCAAGAUGGAGCAAAUCCGUAAAGCCGAUCUCAGUUCGGAUUGUAGUCUGCAACUCGGCUACAUGAAGUUGGAAUUGCUAGUAAUGACGUGUCAGCAACAACGUCGUGAAUACGUUCCCGGGCCUUGUACACACCGUACGUC